GACGUAGGGGACGAGCGUUGUCCGGAUUCAUUGGGCGUAAAGCGUGCGCAGGCGGUUUUGUAAGCCAGAUGUGAAAUCCCCGGGCUCAACCUGGGAAUGGCAUUUGGGACUGCAAGGCUCGAGUGCGGCAGAGGAGACUGGAAUUCCUGGUGUAGCAGUGAAAUGCGUAGAUAUCAGGAGGAAUACCGAUGGCGAAGGCAGGUCUCUGGGCUGACACUGACGCUCAUGCACGAAAGCGUGGGGAGCAAACAGG
rnacentral:rRNA from 1 species